ensembl:lncRNA
AUACUUAGAAAAAGAGGUGGGUGGGAUGGGGAGUUAUUUAAUUAAGCCAUGAGCAAAAGCCACAGAAAUAUCCAAAGUACAUACUCCUAAGGUGACACUUAAGAGAGAUUUGACUCUAGGCAGCUGUGCAAGAAGAUCUCCAUUUUCAGUGGAUUCUUCUGGGAGUGUUGCUGUUUGUGUCUAGGUGUGUAACCUGACUGAAGACCAGAAACUUGCUCAUCAGAGGCUUUUAGAAACCCUACUUGGUCCUUACUGGGUUGAUUUUUUUUUUUUUUUUUUUUUUAAUGCUGGUUAGUUGGUUUCGUUUCUGUCCUCACAAUUUCUUGGGAAAUGGCUUGAAAGAAUUGUUUGCCAGAAGUCCCUGGAGCUCUUUUGUAGAGUAGAUGGGCUGUGUGCAUGUGGGCCAGUGAAGGUUGGGGUCCCUGGGGCUUUGGGAUUCUGGGGGCCAGCGAGGGCACUCCUACACCCCUUUGUUUAUUUCCAGUUGCUCAGAGAUGCCUUCACUAUGGUUGACCUCUGUGCAGUGCUAAUUCCCCCCGCAUUGUCUCUUUCUGACUUUUUAAGAUUAUUUGCUUAUUUAUAAUAAUUUUGGCCAGAAAUUUACUACCGUUGGUUCUUCCUGUUACCCUGCAAAGGGAAUUCCAGAGCCUGUAUGCAUUUACGCUGCCUAGGUCUUUUUCUCCUUUGAUUGCCUUUCUAAAGAGCAUCUCAUUUUGGUGUACAUUCAUGUCCUACUCGUCUUGAAAAUGAAAGGGGGUUUUAGAUAUAACUACGAAGGAUGUGAUCUUGGGCCAGGAUCCCACAUGUCCAAAGAGCACCCUGGGCUCUCCUUCAUUGAGGACGGUGCCAGUACCCCUGGGUUCAUGAUGUUCUCUGUAGGGUAUUCUCCUUGAUUUACUAAAUCCCUCUGGCUUCGUUCUUAACUGUCUUUCCUGCCAUCCUUAAUAUAUUUGUAAAGCCUCAGACAUUUUAAUCCAGUUUUGUAUUUUAGGCAGAGAUGUGCUAAUAUACUCGCUUAGCAGGAUACAGGUCUUUUGAAUUAAUGCUAACCAUUCUAAAGAUUUCUCUCUCUUUUUUCCCUUCCUCAGUAAAUCAUUUACAGAAGUGUUCAUUUUGAGAGGAUGAAGUAUUUGGCUUUUACCAAAGAGGUGUUCUUUUUUAAAAAGCAAAAUCCUUUCAGCAAAAACUUAACUUGGGGAAUGGUGGGUUAAGAAUGCAUUUGUCCACAUCCACUUCUGUAGGUUGAUCAUGUUUAUGUGAGUAAAAUGUUGGAAAGAACUCUUUAAGGUAGUCCUUUGUGGUGAAGGAUCCUGGGAAAUUCUCUCAGGUAAAGCAAGCUUGCAGCAGAUGGGUAAUAUAUGUCUUGAGAGCUAUUUAUAAGAAAUUUAAGGAUUGUUUGUUUUCCUUUAUUAAAGAUUUAAGGUUAUUUUACUUUGAAAAAAGAAACUACAGAAGUUUUAUAGUCAUAACUUUGUUACUUUUUUUAAAAAAACUUGUCUGAAAUAAUUAGAUGUAGCCAAAUUAUGUGGUUAUGUUUUGCUGUUAGAAUUUGAAAAUGUAGUAUGUGUGGUAAUCUACUGUUUGAAAUUUAUAAUGGUCUCAGAUAUGUUUGAGUUUUGGUAACUUUUAAAACUAGUAAUUUUUUUGUUUUAAGUCACAAAGGCACCUAUGGAUUUAUAACUGGGGUUUUUUUGAGUGCUAAUUUUUCUCUGAAGCAGCCGAAGUUGACCAGUCUUUUCCUAGGUAGAAAACUCAAAACUUGUU